GGGGGUGUAGCUCAGUGGUUGAGUGUAUGCUUAGCAUGCACGACGUCCUGGAUUCAAUCUCCAGUACCUCCA
rfam:Camelus ferus unplaced genomic scaffold scaffold16133, whole genome shotgun sequence.